rnacentral:rRNA from 1 species
CUACGGGAGGCAGCAGUGGGGAAUUUUCCGCAAUGGGCGAAAGCCUGACGGAGCAAUACCGCGUGAGGGAAGACUGCCUAUGGGUUAUAAACCUCUUUUUUCAGGGAGGAACAAAAUGACGUGUACCUGAAGAAUAAGCAUCGGCUAACUCCGUGCCAGCAGCCGCGGUAAGACGGAGGAUGCAAGUGUUAUCCGGAAUCACUGGGCGUAAAGCGUCUGUAGGUGGUUUAAUAAGUCAACUGUUAAAUCUUGUUGCUCAACUUCAAAAUCGCAGUCGAAACUAUUAGACUAGAGUAUAGUAGAGGUAAAGGGAAUUUCCAGUGGAGCGGUGAAAUGCGUAGAUAUUGGAAAGAACACCGAUGGCGAAAGCACUUUACUGGGCUAUUACUAACACUCAGAGACGAAAGCUAGGGUAGCAAAUGGGAUUAGAUACCCCAGUAGUCCUAGCCGUAAACUAUGGAUACUAGAUGUUGAACAGAUCGACCUGUGCAGUAUCAAAGCUAACGCGUUAAGUAUCCCGCCUGGGAAGUAUGCUCGCAAGAGUGAAACUCAAAG